rnacentral:rRNA from 1 species
UACGUAGGGGGCAAGCGUUGUCCGGAUUUAUUGGGCGUAAAGCGCGUGUAGGCGGCCACACAGGUCCGCUGUGAAAACUCGAGGCUCAACCUCGAGCUGUCGGUGGAAACCGUGUGGCUAGAGUCCGGAAGAGGCGAGUGGAAUUCCCGGUGUAGCGGUAGAAUGCGCAGACGUAUCGGGAGGAACACCAAUGGCGAAGGCAGCUCGCUGGGACGGUACUGACGCUGAGGCGGCG